rnacentral:rRNA from 1 species
GAUGAACGCUGGCGGCAGGCUUAAUACAUGCAAGUCGAACGGCAGCACAGUGUAGCAAUACAUUGGGGGCGAGUGGCGCACGGGUGCGUAACACGUAUGCAAUUUGCCCAUAACUGGGGGAUAGCCCUCCGAAAGGAGGAUUAAUACGCCAUAAUAUAGUGAAGAGGCAUCUCUUGAUUAUUAACCACUCGGAGGUUAUGGAUGAGCAUGCGUCUGAUUAGCUAGUUGGUGAGGUAACAGCUCACCAAGGCAACGAUCAGUAGGGGGUCUGAGAGGAUGAUCCCCCACACGGGUACUGAGACACGGACCCGACUCCUACGGGAGGCAGCAGUAAGGAAUAUUGGACAAUGGAGGCAACUCUGAUCCAGCCAUGCCGCGUGAAGGAUGAAGGCGCUACGCGUUGUAAACUUCUUUUCUCAUAGAAAAAACUCUUGGUUUCGUACCGAGACUGAUUGUACAAGAGAAAUAAGCAUCGGCUAACUUCGUGCCAGCAGCCGCCGUAACAC